rnacentral:rRNA from 1 species
UACGGGGGGAGCAAGCGUUGUUCGGAUUUACUGGGCGUAAAGGGCGCGUAGGCGGCCAACUAAGUCAUACGUGAAAUCCCUCAGCUUAACUGGGGAACUGCGUGUGAUACUGGAUGGCUUGGAUUUGGGAGAGGGAUGCGGAAUUCCAGGUGUAGCGGUGAAAUGCGUAGAUAUCUGGAGGAACACCGGUGGCGAAGGCGGCAUCCUGGACCAAUAUUGACGCUGAGGAGCGAAAGCCAGGGGAGCAAACGGG